rnacentral:lncRNA from 1 species
UCCCACACCAAUUACUCACUAAAAAGAUCUUGGGUAUAUAAGGCCAAGGAAUCCAAAUAAUAUCUUUCAGCUAUUCUUUUUGGAUAAGGUUCUAGGUUGUUAUAGAAGGACAUAAGCUUAUGUCCCCAUAGAAUUGGUUUAAAAGAGAGACUUCUAAAGGAGAUAGUUACUACUAUCAAGCUUGAUUAGGAUUAGAUUUAAAAUAUUGGAUAUGACAAAAGAGG